GAUGAACGCUAGCGGCAGGCCUAAUACAUGCAAGUCGAGGGGCAGCGGGGUAGCAAUACUGCCGGCGACCGGCGCAUGGGUGCGUAACACGUAUGCAACCUACCUUAAACUGGGAGAUAGACCGGGGAAACUCGGAUUAAUACCCCAUAAUACAUUUGGUUCAGAUGAAUUGAUUGUUAAAUAUUUAUCGGUUUAAGAUGGGCAUGCGUUCGAUUAGCUAGUUGGUAAGGUAACGGCUUACCGAUGCUACGAUCGAUAGGGGGUCUGAGAGGAUGAUCCCCCACACUGGUACUGGGAUACGGACCAGACUGCUACGGGAGGCAGCAGUAGGGAAUAUUGGUCAAGGGAGGCAACUCUGAACCAGCCAUGCCGCGUGUAGGAAGAAGGCGUUCUGCGUUGUAAACUACUUUUGAUUGGGAACAAAUGACUCUUGCGAGAGUAGCUGAGUGUACCAAUAGAAUAAGCCACGGCUAACUACGUGCCAGCCGCCGCCGUAA
rnacentral:rRNA from 1 species